AUUGAAACAUCCGUUCCCGCUACGAUCACUGAAUUUAAGCAACGUCGAGCCUGGUCAGUACCUAGAUGGGUGACCGCCUGGGAAUACCAGGUGCUGUAAG
rnacentral:rRNA from 1 species